GAUGAAGCCGCUCAGACAGACAGUCAGCCUUCAUCACAGACGGUCCCUCAAAGCUCCGACAGCAAGGCCCAGCCCAAGAGACUGCACGUAUCCAACAUCCCCUUCAGGUUCAGAGACCCAGACCUCAGGCAAAUGUUCGGCCAAUUUGGCAAAAUCUUAGAUGUGGAAAUCAUCUUCAACGAGCGAGGUUCUAAGGGUUUUGGGUUCGCAACGUUCGAACAUAGCGUGGACGCCGACAGGGCCAGAGAGAAAUUACACGGAACCGUGGUAGAAGGCCGUAAAAU